CUGCUGGCCCACUGUCCUCAACUCCACAGGCGCCGUCCCGACACAGUGAACUGUCCCAGUUAUUGUUCAGUCACCGUCUGCGAUAUGAGAGAAGAGGGUCAGUGUGCUGUGAGAGUGCUGGGAGGCUGGGAGCUGAAGGUGGAGCUCUUGCCAGGUCAGCCCUUGGGCCCUGCCUUCAGCCUUGCUGUGUUCCCUCAACAUGAUCUGCUCUGUCCUCUUCAGUGAGCGCUGUGACUAUAAGGUAAUGUUCACAAGGAAAUUGACAGAUUGAGGCCCAGGACUGAUGCUCCUGCAUGAGCGACAGGACCCAGAUGCCCCACACAGAUGCUGUGGUGCAUGAGGUCCAGAGAUACAUGGAUACUCUCCCCUCCAGUCUGCCUCACGCUGCAAUCCGCGACACCAAUUCAGACAGUUCUUCACUCCUAAGAUGGGAUGACUGAGGCGACAGAAAGAGGAAAUGACAUUCCAUAUCCUGGAGAGAUGAGUAUCAGGCAUUGAUGCCCUACCCCCGCAUUCCUGCCGAUCAUUCCGGAUUUAAAGGACCUCCAAGUAUCACAUCAAUAGGUGUUUAAGAAAGGACCAUGGAAUCCAGGGGACUGAGGAAGGGAUUCCAGAUUCUGACAGAAGAAGGAAAUAAGAAGAUAAGGCUGAGAUACCUAGAUAUGCAUAACGCAGUCACUGAGGGGCAAUUGCAGGAUCAGGAAAAAAUACAUGACUUUGAACAGAGGAGGUAAUGCUUUAGGAAAAGAGAAAACAGAGAUAGAUCAGAUAGGUCAUGGGCCAGAUAGUCAGUCCCCACCCCUGCCACUGAAGCCCUGAUACACCCAAACAAACAAGCCAGGUCUACCCCUGUUUGUAGAGGUGCAGCAGUGGCAGCAGGAGCUGUGAGAAACUGUGUUGAAUGCCUCAUUUAGUGUGUGGCAGAAACCAGGGAAGGGAAGAGCACACUCAAGUCCAUCUCUCAGAAAAAUAAGUAAAGAUUUCAUAAGUAGAUUUAUGAAUGGAUAGAUAUUUGGAGUUUCUGGGUGAAUAAUUGCCAGACACUGGAAGUGUAAAUUUACGUAACAAUUUUGGAGUGCACCCAUCCUACGACCCAGCUAUUAUAUUCAUGUAUAUGCAGUAGAGCAGGUUUUCCAAGAGUGGAAUAUCAUCUACUGAUGGCUUAAAAAUUACUUUAGUGGAUGAGAACUAGCAUCUUUUAAAUUAAUUCAAGGAGCGUUGCUGUCAAGAGUUUAGCUAAACUACUCCAUGAUAUUGCUGCCUCAGCAUCCAUUUUGUGUGGCCAAGGGGCCUGCUGAAACCUCGAGCUGACACUAGUCCUUCCUGUAAGCAUAUGCCCUACACAACAGUCCACAGAGUCACAAACAAAUGUAGGUUCCUGAUAUGACUUCCCCAGCAGCCCUUGGGAGCAACAGCUUCUCUCCCUCCCGGGACCUUCCCUUCUGUGCUUCUUAGAGAAGACCCCCACAGGGCUUACCAAAACAUCACUCUUUUUGCUUUGAAUUGACCAAUCCGGCCUUAACCUAGGAACCCCAAAACACUUAAAUCGCAGACCCUAAUAAAGACACGUGCCUCAGGUGCUGCCACACUCUGGCUGCACCGUGCCUUGACCCCCCUCGUGGCCCCUGAGCAUGCCAUAUAGCUUCUCCAUGAGCUCUGAGUAAUAAGCUUCUCUAUUCCACUUUCCCUUGUGGUCUUUUGUCGAACUAUGGCUCACCAUCCCACACGCUGGGGACUUACUUGAAAAAAGUUAAUUUAACAAAGUCACAACAGUUGUCAUAUUGGUUUAAAUAGUUUAAUAAAAUACAGACAUUGUGAUAUUUCACCAUUCAUGUUUUAGUGUUCUCAAAAGCAAAUUCACUAGCUAUUUCAACCUCAAAAUGGGUUUAUUCAAGAACAGCCAAAUGAUUACAAUUUGGAAUGUGCGUGUAAGGAGAACCACAGAGAAAUCCAGAGAAAAAAAGAGAGAGGUCCUUCUAUAGAGGAAACAAGGAGAAUAAGGGACUGUUCCAAAGGAAAGUCCAUUGGAGGAGACUCACAGAUGGGAGUGGCAAUAGCUUCUCAUUGGCCGAGCUGUCUCCUUUCUUAUGGGCUGAUCUGUGGUGUUUCUCAUUAGCUGAGCUGUGUGUUUCUCAUUGGCUAGGCUGCAGAGUUUCUCCUUGGCUUGGCUGUUGCUGAGUGGAAGAGAAAUCUUCCUUCAUAGUAAAGUGGUUGUACUUCCUGUUGGAGAUGCAAGUGUGUCACUUCUUCUUUGGUGUAGUUAAAUGUGUGAUAGGAGUGAAAGCUCUCAUAACAGGGCCUCCUGUGUGUUUCUUAAGGUUUCAUUUAAAAUGAAUUUCCACAGUAUGCAACAGUGAAAAACAGAUGUGCCAUGUAAAACCCCAUUACCAUUGUCAUAAGCUAAUAUAAUUAGGAAUAACAUUUAAGAUCCUAGAAUGUUUCUCUCACAUCAGAAUUUCCACAUUCCUCCCACAACAUGUCUUUCAGCUUGUCAAAUCUGGAUUUAAAAAUGACAAGAGAUUUUCACAUAUUGAGGUAUAUGGGGUAACUUUUUGAGUUCAAAACUGAUUUGUUUGAACAAAAAGCCUGACUUAUAGCCUAUCAAACAUACGUUGUACACCUGCUUGACUAUGAAAGAAUGCACUCUAAAGAUAAGAAUGCACACUUCCCCACCUACGCCCUAUUGGGAUUAAUCCCUUUCCUGACAUGACCUCAUGUUGACCUGCUAAUUUGCAACUGAAUACCUCUUUGAAAUUUUGAUGAAAAUAUACCUGGGUGUGUUUAAUAUAUGUUUUUUGUUCUAAAAAGAUACAAGGGGCUGGCCCCGUGGCCAAGUGGUUAAGUUCUGACACUCUGCUGCAGGCGGCCCAGUGUUUCGUUGGUUCGAAUCCUGGGCGCGGACAUGGCACUGCUCAUCAAACCACACUGAGGCAGCGUCCCACAUGCCACAACUAGAAGGACCCACAGCGAAGAAUAUACAACUAUGUACUGGGGGGCUUUGGGGAGAAAAAGGAAAAAAUAAAAUCUUUAAAAAAAAAAAAAAGAUACAAGACUGUACUGAAAACCAUGCUUCUAGGGAACACUUUCUAAGGCCUUCCUGGGUUACAACCCU
ensembl:lncRNA